CGUAGGUGGCAAGCGCUGUCCGGAUUUAUUGGGUUUAAAGGGUGCGUAGGCGGUCCUAUAAGUCAGUGGUGAAAUACGGCAGCUCAACUGUCGAGGUGCCAUUGAUACUGCAGGACUAGAGUACUGAUGAGGUAGGCGGAAUGGACGGUGUAGCGGUGAAAUGCUUAGAUAUCGUCCAGAACACCGAUAGCGAAGGCAGCUUACUAAAGAGUAACUGACGCUGAGGCACGAAAGUGUGGGGAUCAAACAGGAUUAGAUACCCUGGUAGUCCACACUGUAAACGUUGAUCACUAGAUGUUGGCGAUACACUGCCAGCGUUCCAGCAAAAGCGAUAAGUGAUCCACCUGGGGAGUACGCCCGCAAGGGUG
rnacentral:rRNA from 1 species